rnacentral:rRNA from 1 species
GACGAACGCUGGCGGCGUGCUUAACACAUGCAAGUCGAGCGGUAAGGCCCUUUCGGGGGUACACGAGCGGCGAACGGGUGAGUAACACGUGGGUGACCUGCCUUUAGCUCUGGGAUAAGCCUGGGAAACUGGGUCUAAUACCGGAUAUGACUCCAUGAUGCAUGUUGUGGGGUGGAAAGCCUUGUGCGGCUGGAGAGUGGGCCCGCGGCCUAUCAGCUUGUUGGUGGGGUGANGGCCUACCAAGGCGACGACGGGUAGCCGGCCUGAGAGGGCGACCGGCCACAC